GUAGUCACGUUGCAAUCUGCAUAGUAGUCGUAGCUUACGCUAAAUACGCUGUCCACCUUCGUGUCGAGAACACGUUUUGGCAGUGAACCAAUGUCGAGCAGGCAGUAGGACGCGUUGGAAGCUUAUGGAAUAGUUGGUGCAUUCGCACUUAAUUUCGCAUUCAACGCAAGAACAAUAAUUUAACUGAAAUUUAUAAAUGCAUUCGAAAACCAGUUGAAGCCAAUAAAACUAAAUAAAAAAGCAGUUGUGAGCAAGUUAUUACUGUAGCAGCUAGUUGUUGUUAUUGUUGCUGAAUUGCUGUUGCUACUUCGCAAGAAUCUUUGGAACUUGAUGGUCUGCCUGGCUAGCUAAACAACUUUAGUCAACGUGUAAAAGCGGCCGCGGUCGCAACGGUUUAGAGCAGCAAGCGAACGUUUUUUUUUUCGAAUUACCAAUAUUGCCAAUAGUGCGAAACAAGCGACAACAGCAUUAGCGUUUUUUAAACAAAAUAAAUUCAGAAACGAACAACAAAUCUUCGGCAGCGCCGCGCAACUUAUAUAGGUCCGAUUCAUCCAACAGCGUUACACGAGAAUCCUUAAGAAGAUAUUCGAAUGAAUAUUUUAAAAUCAAUCGCCCAAAAUUUGCGCAUUCAACGCGAAUAAAUUAACGCAUGCAAAAAUUUACAAACCAAAUACGAUUUCACAAGCAACAAAAAAUCUCACAGUGUAGAAUUAGAUUCUCAGCAUUAAUCGUGAAUACCUAACGUUGAGGAACCUUUAGUAGAUAGAAGGUGGAACUGGUUAACUUCACAGAAGUGCGGAAGAAGUCCACAAACCAACGCUUACAACUACAAACUCAAGGUAACUGAUUUGUUUUUCUUUUCAAGGAUGUGCUUUUACAAGUUUUAAGUAUAUAAAUUAAAUUAUAAAAGGCGCUCCAUGCGCAUGAAAUUUCGCGACGGCCACCUUUCUUCCUCUUGCCGGGAGCAAUCGUCAGUGCGCUAGACAGGUUCGCGCUUCGAAAUGAUUAGCUUCAUUUACCGCAUGCUCUUUAACAGAAUUGUUGAGGAAGAGUGGCAUCCAUCUAGAAAAGGAUAAGCAGGUCGCCGCCUCUUCUCUGUAGUCUGUUUAUAAGCAAAGUGCGAGAGUAGCUGGAGAGGCGUAACCGUGACGCACUCAAAAUGAGUGAUAGGUUUCCUCUACACUAUAAUCUGAUCCAAAUUUCCUUCUGAUGGCUAAGUGGACUCGCUUUAAAUGUUAGUAAGAUAAGCUCGCUAGAAAAAUCAUUCAAGAUAAUCGUUCUUCAUAGGACUCUUCUCUAAAUUAUAGCAGUUCGCCUUGCGAUUUAUAAUACAGUAAAGUACUUUAGCUUGGGAAACUCUUAUGUAAGCCCGAAAAGAGGACAAUUGCCUUAUAUGUAUUGCAACAGAGGCUCUACCUCUCUCUUUUACUCAAUGAUACCGCAGCUCAUUCUUUAGUGUUCUAUGGAAUAUCCUACUGAUGAAAUGGGGUAAAUGGGUAUGGGCUUAUAGGUGGCGCCACUUGGGAAGGUAGGACCAGUUCGCUGGUUGGCGGUAUGAUCUUGAGACAACUCUUCUGUUAAUUCACCAUCAAUCUCAAAGUUAGGAUUUAAAUUGCACUGCAGUGUUAACCAGGAAGAGGUAGCUGCUAUGUAUUUAAAUUGAUUAGUUGGCUGCUCAACCGUCUGACGUUCAUAAACGCGGUAACACCUAUCCUGAUAGACAACCGGUAAUCUGACCUUGGUACAUUCAAGGGGUUCCCUGAUUUUCCAUUCGGUUGCGUGUGAUUAUUUCCACCUUAGACUUAUAUGGUAACGAGAACAUAAUGAUGUUCCCGGAAAUUGUAGGGCAGUUGAGUUAGCU